rnacentral:lncRNA from 1 species
AGAUAGUCCAAACACUCCUUUUUAAAUAUAAAAACAGAUGCCUAAACUGAUUUGUCUAGGAUCGUAUUCUUAUUACAUCUCAAAAAUACAUUACAUAAAUCAUGCAUUGUCAUCCUUUGCAAAUACUAAAAACUGGGCAAAGACAACAGCUUAACUUUUUAAGCAGAUGUAGAUUAGACAAUUAUGUCUGUUCUAACUUGCAACCGAGGAAGCAGUGCAAAUAACUGGUUGUCAGGAAGCUGGAAUAUUUUAUAUGGACGUAUACAUUCUAUUAUCAAUCAAUCAAUCAGUCCUAUAUUUUUAAAAAAGCACAUAUUU